GAGAGUCGGACGUUCGAGUCGUCCCAGGCCCACCACUGAUCCAGAAGGUUGGGCGUCGAUCUGAAGCUCUUGUUGUGCUGAGCGUGCUCUUAGGGGCCAUAGCUCAGUUGGGAGAGCGCGUGCUUUGCAAGCAUGAGGUCGUCGGUUCGAUCCCGUCUGGCUCCACCAUUUCCUGCAUUCCGAUGAGGGAUGCGGUCGAGAUGGUCGGUGGUGAAGCGCUUCAAGCGUGAGAGAAGAACAUCCGGUUCUUUUCUCUUCUGUCCGCACAAUCUGUUUCGCUGAUCCUCAGCAAGCCCCCAUGUGGGCGAGGAUGAGCGCUGCUGUCUGACAUUGUGAAUCUGGGCGUUUUCGAUUUGCUGGCCGCAAGGCUGGCGGGUCGUGACAAUCAAGCUUUCGGGCUUGAGAGGACACGAUCAUCGGGUGCUGACCGCACCGGUGUCGAAAAUGUCGAAGCUGGUCUUUAGCGUCCAGCCCUCUCGCUGAUCCGCCUGGUGCGGAUUGAUGAGAACCUCAGCCGAGGAGUGGGCAUGGACGAUGAGAACGAUCAAGUGUCUUAAGGGCAUUCGGUGGAUGCCUUGGCGCUAAGAGGCGAAGAAGGACGUGGUACGCUGCGAUAUGCUUCGGGGAGCUGC
rnacentral:rRNA from 4 species